CGACCGGCGCACGGGUGCGCACCGCGUAUGGAACCUACCUUUUGCAGGGGAAUAGCCCAGGGAAACUUGGAUUAAUGCCCCGUAGCACUAUUUUGCGGCAUUGCAUUAUAGUUAAAGCCUUCGGGCGGCAAGAGAUGGCCAUGCGUCCCAUUAGCUGGAUGGUAAGGUAACGGCUUACCAUGGCUACGAUGGGUAGGGGCCCUGAGAGGGGGAUCCCCCACACUGGUACUGAGACACGGACCAGACUCCUACGGGAGGCAGCAGUGAGGAAUAUUGGACAAUGGAGGAGACUCUGAUCCAGCCAUGCCGCGUGCAGGAAGACGGCCCUAUGGGUUGUAAACUGCUUUUAUACGGGAAGAAAAACAGCUACGUGUAGUUGACUGACGGUACCGUAAGAAUAAGGACCGGCUAACUCCGUGCCAGCAGCCGCGGUAAUACGGAGGGUCCGAGCGUUAUCCGGAAUUAUUGGGUUUAAAG
rnacentral:rRNA from 1 species